rfam:Magnaporthe poae ATCC 64411 unplaced genomic scaffold supercont1.10, whole genome shotgun sequence.
GGUCCUGUGGCCUAAUGGUAAGGCGUUGCUUUCCGGUGGCAAAGAUUUUGGGUUCGAGUCCCAACGGGAUCG